GACGAAUGCUGGCGGCGUGCUUAACACAUGCAAGUCGAACGAGCGGCGGACGGGUGAGUAAUGUCUGGGAAACUGCCUGAUGGAGGGGGAUAACUACUGGAAACGGUAGCUAAUACCGCAUACCAUCAGAUGUGCCCAGAUGGGCUUAGCUAGUAGGUGGGGUAACGGCUCACCUAGGCGACGCUCCCUAGCUGGUCUGAGAGGCUGACCAGCCACACUGGAACUGAGAAACGGCCCAGACUCCUCCGGGAGGCAGCAGGGGGGAAUAUUGCACAAUGGGCGCAAGCCUGAUCCAGCCAUGCCGCGUGUCUGAAGAAGGCCUUCGGGUUGUAAAGGACUUUUGUCAGGGAAGCGGUACCUGAAGAAUAAGCACCGGCUAACUACGUGCCAGCAGCCGCGGUAAUUC
rnacentral:rRNA from 1 species